rnacentral:rRNA from 1 species
GAGCCGACCUUGAAAUACCACCCUUUAAUGUUUGAUGUUCUAACGUGGACCCGUGAUCCGGGUUGCGGACAGUGUCUGGUGGGUAGUUUGACUGGGGCGGUCUCCUCCUAAAGAGUAACGGAGGAGCACGAAGGUUGGCUAAUCCUGGUCGGACAUCAGGAGGUUAGUGCAAUGGCAUAAGCCAGCUUGACUGCGAGCGUGACGGCGCGAGCAGGUGCGAAAGCAGGUCAUAGUGAUCCGGUGGUUCUGAAUGGAAGGGCCAUCGCUCAACGGAUAAAAGGUACUCCGGGGAUAACAGGCUGAUACCGCCCAAGAGUUCAUAUCGACGGCGGUGUUUGGCACCUCGAUGUCGGCUCAUCACAUCCUGGGGCUGAAGUAGGUCCCAAGGGUAUGGCUGUUCGCCAUUUAAAGUGGUACGCGAGCUGGGUUUAGAACGUCGUGAGACAGUUCGGUCCCUAUCUGCCGUGGGCGCUGGAGAACUGAGGGGGGCUGCUCCUAGUACGAGAGGACCGGAGUGGACGCAUCACUGGUGUUCGGGUUGUCAUGCCAAUGGCACUGCCCGGUAGCUAAAUGCGGAAGAGAUAAGUGCUGAAAGCAUCUAAGCACGAAACUUGCCCCGAGAUGAGUUCUCCCUGACCCUUUAAGGGUCCUGAAGGAACGUUGAAGACGACGACGUUGAUAGGCCGGGUGUGUAAGCGCAGCGAUGCGUUGAGCUAACCGGUACUAAUGAACCGUGAGGCUUAACCUU